rnacentral:rRNA from 1 species
CGUGGGAGCAAACAGGAUUAGAUACCCUGGUAGUCCACGCUGUACACGAUGUCGAUUUGGAGGUUGUUCCCUUGAGGAGUGGCUUCCGGAGCUAACGCGUUAAAUCGACCGCCUGGGGAGUACGGCCGCAAGGUUAAACUCAAAUGAAUUGACGGGGGCCCGCACAAGCGGUGGAGCAUGUGGUUUAAUUCGAUGCAACGCGAAGAACCUUACCUACUCUUGACAUCCAGAGAAUUUAGCAGAGAUGCUUUAGUGCCUUCGGGAACUCUGAGACAGGUGCUGCAUGGCUGUCGUCAGCUCGUGUUGUGAAAUGUUGGGUUAAGUCCCGCAACGAGCGCAACCCUUAUCCUUUGUUGCCAGCACAUUAUGGUGGGAACUCAAAGGAGACUGCCGGUGAUAAACCGGAGGAAGGUGGGGAUGACGUCAAGUCAUCAUGGCCCUUACGAGUAGGGCUACACACGUGCUACAAUGGCGUAUACAAAGAGAAGCGACCUCGCGAGAGCAAGCGGAACUCAUAAAGUACGUCGUAGUCCGGAUUGGAGUCUGCAACUCGACUCCAUGAAGUCGGAAUCGCUAGUAAUCGUAGAUCAGAAUGCUACGGUGAAUACGUUCCCGGGCCUUGUACACACCGCCCGUCACACCAUGGGAGUGGGUUGCAAAAGAAGUAGGUAGCUUAACCUUCGGGAGGGCGCUUACCACUUUGUGAUUCAUGACUGGGGUGAAGUCGUAACAAGGUAACCA